rnacentral:rRNA from 1 species
UGCAUGUCUAAGUAUAAGCAAUUAUACCGCGAAACUGCGAAUGGCUCAUUAUAUAAGUUAUCGUUUAUUUGAUAAUACUUUACUACUUGGAUAACCGUGGUAAUUCUAGAGCUAAUACAUGCUGAAAAUCCCGACUUCGGAAGGGAUGUAUUUAUUAGAUUAAAAACCAAUGCCCCUCGGGGCUCUCUGGUGAAUCAUGAUAACUAGUCGAAUCGACAGGCCUUGUGCCGGCGAUGGCUCAUUCAAAUUUCUUCCCUAUCAACUUUCGAUGUUUGGGUAUUGGCCAAACAUGGUGGCAACGGGUAACGGAGGGUUAGGGCUCGACCCCGGAGAAGGAGCCUGAGAAACGGCUACUACAUCCAAGGAAGGCAGCAGGCGCGCAAAUUACCCAAUCCCGACACGGGGAGGUAGUGACAAUAAAUACUGAUACAGGGCUCUUUUGGGUCUUGUAAUCGGAAUGAGUACAAUUUAAAUCCCUUAACGAGGAACAAUUGGAGGGCAAGUCUGGUGCCAGCAGCCGCGGUAAUUCCAGCUCCAAUAGCGUAUAUUAAAGUUGUUGUGGUUAAAAAGCUCGUAGUUGAACCUUGGGCCUGGCUGGCCGGUCCGCCUCACCGCGUGCACUGGUCCGGCCGGGCCUUUCCCUCUGCGGAACCCCAUGCCCUUCACUGGGUGUGGCGGGGAAACAGGACUUUUACUUUGAAAAAAUUAGAGUGCUCAAGGCAGGCCUAUGCUCGAAUACAUUAGCAUGGAAUAAUAGAAUAGGACGUGU